GACGAACGCUGGCGGCGCGCCUAACACAUGCAAGUCGAACGAGCGAGAGAGAGCUUGCUUUCUUGAGCGAGUGGCGAACGGGUGAGUAACGCGUGAGGAACCUGCCUCAAAGAGGGGGACAACAGUUGGAAACGACUGCUAAUACCGCAUAAGCCCACGGUGCCGCAUGGCACAGAGGGAAAAGGAGCAAUCCGCUUUGAGAUGGCCUCGCGUCCGAUUAGCUAGUUGGUGAGGUAACGGCCCACCAAGGCGACGAUCGGUAGCCGGACUGAGAGGUUGAACGGCCACAUUGGGACUGAGACACGGCCCAGACUCCUACGGGAGGCAGCAGUGGGGAAUACUGCACAAUGGGGGAAACCCUGAUGCAGCGACGCCGCGUGGAGGAAGAAGGUCUUCGGAUUGUAAACUCCUGUUGUUGGGGAAGAUAAUGACGGUACCCAACAAGGAAGUGACGGCUAACUACGUG
rnacentral:rRNA from 1 species